rnacentral:rRNA from 1 species
AGUGAACGCUGGCGGUAGGCCUAACACAUGCAAGUCGAACGGCAGCACAGUAAGAGCUUGCUCUUACGGGUGGCGAGUGGCGGACGGGUGCGGAAUACAUCGGAAUCUACUUUUUCGUGGGGGCUAACGUAGGGAAACUUACGCUAAUACCGCAUACGACCUACGGGUGAAAGCAGGGGAUCUUCGGACCUUGCGCGAUCGAAUGAGCCGAUGUCGGCUUAGCUAGUUGGCGGGGUAAAGGCCCACCAAGGCGACGAUCCGUAGCUGGUCUGAGAGGAUGAUCAGCCACACUGGAACUGAGACACGGUCCAGACGACUACGGGAGGCAGCAGUGGGGAAUAUUGGGCAAUGGGCGCAAGCCUGAUCCAGCCAUACCGCGUGGGUGAAGAAGGGCUUCGGGUUGUAAAACCCUUUUGUUGGGAAAGAAAAGCAGGAGGUUAAUACCCCGCUGUUCUGACGGUACCCAAAGAAUAAGCAACGGCUAACUUCGUU